UUUUUUUUCAGGGGGCCCUUCGGGGGUCGUGGAAUGCUUUUCUUCUCCUCUUAUUCCAUAUGGAAUACAAUGAGUUAAAAUAAGAAGGAAUAGGGGAAUAUUUAACCGUUUGCUCCAAAAAGAGGAUGAAAUCCAUCCUAUUGAAAAAGAAAUAAUCCGAAAUAGAAAGAACUUUUUUUUCAAAUUUAA